rnacentral:misc_RNA from 1 species
GUAGGUGAACCUGCGGAAGGAUCAUUAAUGAGUUCGGGGGCCUAGCCCCCAGCGGCGAGUAUCGUUCGAGUCCCCCAGGACUCGGCCGGCGGUCGUCGUGUUUCUCAACCCCAUGUUUACCAUACCUUUGUUGCUUUGGCGGGCCUUGAGUAGGCUAUACGGCUCAUGCCGGCCCCAGGCUUUGUUGCCUGGGGGCGGCUCGCGCCCGCCAGAGGUUUAAACCAAAUCCUCUUUUAUCAGUGAUGUCUGA